UGUAUAAUGGGUCAGCGACUUAUAUUCUGUAGCAAGGUUAACCGAAUAGGGGAGCCGAAGGGAAACCGAGUCUUAACUGGGCGUUAAGUUGCAGGGUAUAGACCCGAAACCCGGUGAUCUAGCCAUGGGCAGGUUGAAGGUUGGGUAACACUAACUGGAGGACCGAACCGACUAAUGUUGAAAAAUUAGCGGAUGACUUGUGGCUGGGGGUGAAAGGCCAAUCAAACCGGGAGAUAGCUGGUUCUCCCCGAAAGCUAUUUAGGUAGCGCCUCGUGAAUUCAUCUCCGGGGGUAGAGCACUGUUUCGGCAAGGGGGUCAUCCCGACUUACCAACCCGAUGCAAACUGCGAAUACCGGAGAAUGUUAUCACGGGAGACACACGGCGGGUGCUAACGUCCGUCGUGAAGAGGGAAACAACCCAGACCGCCAGCUAAGGUCCCAAAGUCAUGGUUAAGUGGGAAACGAUGUGGGAAGGCCCAGACAGCCAGGAUGUUGGCUUAGAAGCAGCCAUCAUUUAAAGAAAGCGUAAUAGCUCACUGGUCGAGUCGGCCUGCGCGGAAGAUGUAACGGGGCUAAACCAUGCACCGAAGCUGCGGCAGCGACACUAUGUGUUGUUGGGUA
rnacentral:rRNA from 1 species